GACGUAGGGCGCGAGCGUUGUCCGGAUUUAUUGGGCGUAAAGAGCUCGUAGGCGGUUUGUCGCGUCGGGAGUGAAAACUCAGGGCUUAACCCUGAGCCUGCUUCCGAUACGGGCAGACUAGAGGUAUGCAGGGGAGAACGGAAUUCCUGGUGUAGCGGUGAAAUGCGCAGAUAUCAGGAGGAACACCGGUGGCGAAGGCGGUUCUCUGGGCAUUACCUGACGCUGAGGAGCGAAAGUGUGGGGAGCGAACAGG
rnacentral:rRNA from 1 species